UGGGGAAUUUUGCACAAUGGGGGAAACCCUGAUGCAGCGACGCCGCGUGAUUUAGAAGGCCUUCGGGUUGUAAAAAUCUUUUGCAUGGGAAGAAAAUGACAGUACCAUACGAAUAAGGACCGGCUAAUUACGUGCCAGCAGCCGCGGUAAUACGUAAGGUCCGAGCGUUGUCCGGAAUCAUUGGGCGUAAAGGGUACGUAGGCGGAUAAGCAAGUUAGAAGUGAAAUCCUAUAGCUCAACUAUAGUAAGCUUUUAAAACUGCUCAUCUUGAGGUAUGGAAGGGAAAGUGGAAUUCCUAGUGUAGCGGUGAAAUGCGCAGAUAUUAGGAGGAAUACCGGUGGCGAAGGCGACUUUCUGGCCAUAUACUGACGCUGAGGUACGAAAGCGUGGGUAGCAAACAGG
rnacentral:rRNA from 1 species